GAGCGCGGGGGGUGGUGGCAGCGCGGGCGGCGCCCGGACUGCGCUCAGCGAUGCUGAACUGGGUCGCUGGGCCGAACUGUUGUCUCCUCUGGACGAGUCCCGCGCCAGUAUCACUUCUGUCACCAGCUUCUCCCCGGACGACGUGGCUUCCCCGCAGGGUGACUGGACCGUCGUGGAGGUGGAGACCUUCCACUGAGUCAGAUUCUUCUAACUCCGCCCACCACACUCCAUCUCCGCCUUAGCAUCCGACCCUCCCGUUACACCUCUUGGUCUUAGACCCUGGUCUCCUCCUUCUGGAAUCCAGGUCUCCGUAGAAUUUUGGCCCAAAUUCGCGACCCACCCACACCUUUUGCCAAAGCCCUCCCCUCGAGCUUCGCCCCAUUGGCCUGGGACACGCUCCCCAGGAGCCCCGCUUCCUUCCUCAGCCCCCAUCCCAUGUGUAUAGUUGGCAAUACAGCCAGGAC